rnacentral:rRNA from 1 species
UACGUAGGUGGCAAGCGUUGUCCGGAAUUAUUGGGCGUAAAGCGCGCGCAGGCGGUCCUUUAAGUCUGAUGUGAAAGCCCACGGCUCAACCGUGGAGGGUCAUUGGAAACUGGGGGACUUGAGUGCAGGAGAGAAGAGUGGAAUUCCACGUGUAGCGGUGAAAUGCGUAGAGAUGUGGAGGAACACCAGUGGCGAAGGCGGCUCUCUAGUACGGUACUGACGCUGAGACGCGAAAGCGUGGGGAGCGAACAGG